GCACGGCCCGCACGGCCCAUCUCCCUCCCUGUCGAUCUCCCACCGCACCUGCGCCUCCGCCCUCCGCCAGAACACCGCUCCCGCACCUCCGCCAUCACCGCUCCGCUCCGUAUCAGCCGCCGCGCCGUCCUCUGCAUCGCCUGUCCUCCGCCACCCCGCCGCACGAGGUGCUCCCGUCGCCAGGUAGCCGCCGCGCCGUCAUCUGCAUCGCCUGUCUCCACCGAUCCCCUCCACACGAGGUGCUCCCGUCGCCAGGUCGCCGCCGACGCCUUCCGCAGUGAUCCGAUCUGCCAUCGAAUCCCCGCCGCCGGCUCGUCCUCCAAGAUCCCCAUCGGCCUGUCCUCCGCCUCCUCGCCGCACGAAUUCCUCACGUCGCCAGGUCGCCGCCACCGAUCUGCUCCACCGAUCCCCGCCGCACGAGGUGCUCCCGUCGCCAGGUCGCCGCCGACGCCUUCCGCGGUGAUCCGAUCCCCGUCGCCUGUCCGCGGUGAUCAGAAAUUUCAUCGCAGCGCCUCCGCCAGGGCAGAGCAGUUGAGAAGGUAGAAUCUCCAAUUCAAGGGGCUCUGCGCCUUGUUCCUCAACAAGAGAAGGGCUAAACUGAAUUGGAGAAAGAUGUUCCGAAGUACUGUGAUAAGAAUUCAAAUAGUGUGAAGUGCAGGAAACCAAGGAGGUAUCGCUUACUACUAAUUUGCUCUUCAACAUAACCUGGUGCUUAUAUAUUGGCAUGGUUUUGUACAAUAUAUAGUAAUCAAGAUUCAAUAAUCCGAGUAUAGAAGAAACCUUGCUGCACAACCAUAUUGUGGUGUAUUAUAACAUUUAAAUUAUAAUAUUGUUUGG
rnacentral:lncRNA from 1 species